UACGUAGGGUGCAAGCGUUGUCCGGAAUUAUUGGGCGUAAAGAGCUCGUAGGCGGUCUGUCGCGUCUGCUGUGAAAACUCAGGGCUUAACCCUGAGCUUGCAGUGGGUACGGGCAGACUAGAGUGCUGUAGGGGAGACUGGAAUUCCUGGUGUAGCGGUGAAAUGCGCAGAUAUCAGGAGGAACACCGAUGGCGAAAGCGGCUCUCUGGAACGGUACUGACGCUGAGACGCGAAAGCGUGGGGAGCGAACAGG
rnacentral:rRNA from 1 species